CUUAUAUGAAAUUUCCAUAUCCAACGUUUGACUGUCCGUUUUAUAUGAAAUUUUUUUAUAAUUAGUAUUUUUAUUGUUGUUAAAUGAUAAAAUAUGAUUAAUACUUUAUGUGUGACUUUUCUUUUCAAUUUUUUUUCAUAAUUUUUUCAAAUAAGUCGGAUGGUCAAACGUUGGACACGGAAACCAGGGUUUAUC
rnacentral:pre_miRNA from 1 species